rnacentral:rRNA from 1 species
UACGGGGGGUGCGAGCGUUGUCCGGAAUCACUGGGCGUAAAGGGCGCGUAGGUGGCCUGAUAAGGGUGUGGUGAAAGUCCGGGGCUUAACCCCGGAUCUGCCGUGCCGACUGUUAGGCUAGAGUGCUGUAGGGGCAGGCGGAAUUCCGGGUGUAGCGGUGGAAUGCGUAGAGAUCCGGAGGAAGACCGGUGGCGAAGGCGGCGACCUGGGUAGAUACUGACGCUGAGGUGCGAAAGCGUGGGGAGCAAACGGG